GCCAGGUGUUGUGGUGGGCGCCUGUAGUCCCAGCUACUCAGGAGGCUGAGGCAAGAGAAUCGCCUAAGCCCAGGAGUUGGAGGUUGCUGUGAGCUGUGUGAUGCCAUGGACUCCACCGAAGGCAAUAAAGACUCUAUCUCUACAAAAGAAAAAUAAUAAUAAAUAAGUAACAAUGCUUUAUUUUUUUUUUUUUUAAUAAAGUAAGCCAGCAUUCCUUAUGAGGGGUGGAGGACCUGGAGCCUGGUUCUCUCCUUUUUUUUAGAGAUAGUCUCAUUUCGUUGCCCUCGGUAGAGUGCUAUGGUCACAGCUCACAGCAACCUCCAGCUCCUGGGCUUAGGUGAUUCUCUUGCCUCAG
rnacentral:SRP_RNA from 1 species